GACAAACGCUGGCGGCGUGCCUAACACAUGCAAGUCGUACGUCCUGUCUUCUUUCGGGAAGGCAGGGAGUGGCGGACGGGUGAGGAACACGUGGGAACCUGCCCACCGGUGAGGAAUACCGGCGAGAAAUCGCUGACAAGACCGCAUACGCUUCGCAAGAAGCAAAGCUCUCCGCACGGGGAGCGCCUGUGGAGGGGCCUGCGUCCGAUUAGCUAGCUGGUGAGGUAAUGGCUCACCAGGGCGACGAUCGGUAGCUGGUCUGAGAGGAUGAGCAGCC
rnacentral:rRNA from 1 species